UACGUAGGUGGCGAGCGUUAUCCGGAUUUAUUGGGCGUAAAGGGAACGCAGGCGGUCUUUUAAGUCUGAUGUGAAAGCCUUCGGCUUAACCGGAGUAGUGCAUUGGAAACUGGGAGACUUGAGUGCAGAAGAGGAGAGUGGAACUCCAUGUGUAGCGGUGAAAUGCGUAGAUAUAUGGAAGAACACCAGUGGCGAAAGCGGCUCUCUGGUCUGUAACUGACGCUGAGGUUCGAAAGCGUGGGUAGCAAACAGG
rnacentral:rRNA from 1 species